rnacentral:rRNA from 1 species
AUACGGAGGAUCCGAGCGUUAUCCGGAUUUAUUGGGUUUAAAGGGUGCGUAGGUGGUUUGAUAAGUCAGCGGUGAAAGUUUGCAGCUUAACUGUAAAAAUGCCGUUGAAACUGUCGGACUUGAGUGUAAAUGAGGUAGGCGGAAUGCGUGGUGUAGCGGUGAAAUGCAUAGAUAUCACUCAGAACACCGAUUGCGAAGGCAUCUGACGAAUCCGUCACUGACGCUGAGGCACGAAAGCGUGGGGAUAGAACAGGAUUAGAUACCCUGGUAUUCCACGCCGUAAACGAUGAUGACUAACCGUCGGCGAUAGACAGCCGGUGGCCAAGCGAAAGCGAUAAGUCAUCCACCUGGGGAGUACGUCGGCAACGAUGAAACUCAAAUGAAUUGACGGGG